CCUACGGGUGGCAGCAGUGGGGAAUAUUGCACAAUGGGGGAAACCCUGAUGCAGCGACGCCGCGUGAGUGAAGAAGUACUUCUUUAUGUAAAGCUCUAUCUGCAGGGGAGAAAAUUACUGUACCUGAGUAAUUAUCCCCGUCUAACUACGUUCCAGCAGCCGCGGUAAUACGUAGGGGGCAAGCGUUAUCCGGAUUUACUGGGUGUAAAGGGAGCGUAGACGGAAGUGCAAGUCUGUAGUGAAAGGCGGGGGCUCAACCCCCGGACUGCAGUGGAAACUGUACGGCUGGAGUGCAGGAGAGGUAAGUGGAAUUCCUAGUGUAGCGGUGAAAUGCGUAGAUAUUAGGAGGAACACCAGUGGCGAAGGCGGCUUACUGGACUGUAACUGACGCUGAGGCUCGAAAGCGUGGGGAGCAAACAGGAUUAGAUACCCGGGUAGUC
rnacentral:rRNA from 1 species